GAUGAACGCUGGCGGCGUGCCUAAUACAUGCAAGUCGAGCGAAUGGAUUGAGAGCUUGCUCUCAAGAAGUUAGCGGCGGACGGGUGAGUAACACGUGGGUAACCUGCCCAUAAGACUGGGAUAACUCCGGGAAACCGGGGCUAAUACCGGAUAACAUUUUGAACUGCAUGGUUCGAAAUUGAAAGGCGGCUUCGGCUGUCACUUAUGGAUGGACCCGCGUCGCAUUAGCUAGUUGGUGAGGUAACGGCUCACCAAGGCAACGAUGCGUAGCCGACCUGAGAGGGUGAUCGGCCACACUGGGACUGAGACACGGCCCAGACUCCUACGGGAGGCAGCAGUAGGGAAUCUUCCGCAAUGGACGAAAGUCUGACGGAGCAACGCCGCGUGAGUGAUGAAGGCUUUCGGGUCGUAAAACUCUGUUGUUAGGGAAGAACAAGUGCUAGUUGAAUAAGCUGGCACCUUGACGGUACCUAACCAGAAAGCCACGGCUAACUACGUG
rnacentral:rRNA from 1 species